GGAAGAGAAAUUUCUGCACCUAAAAUGGAUAGCAUUCUUCAUUCAACUUCAACCCAACCAGGUUUCCUUGGUACCCAAAGAUGUCAAGACUUUCUCCAUGGGGUAAAAAUCGAGGAGGAUGGAAGACAGAAGGAGAAGAGAGAAUCUUGUUCCAAGCAUGCCUGCAUUUCCAUUAUUAUUUCUAGCUUGAAGCCAAGUCUUAGGUCUUGAGACCCUUAGGGUAGUAGUAGCUCUUGAAGCCAAUUCUUAUUUACAUUAUUCAUUCUUCUACCAUACAAAGAUGUAUGUACUUAAAUAUUGUAUUCUCAAUUACAUCCCUUGUACCUCUAUUUCUGCAUGCAUUUCCACAUUUCUCUAAUAAAAUAUUUUCUCCA